GGAGGGUGCAAGCGUUAUCCGGAUUUACUGGGUUUAAAGGGUGUGUAGGCGGGCUUUUAAGUCAGUGGUGAAAUCUCCGGGCUCAACCCGGAAACUGCCAUUGAUACUAUUAGUCUUGAAUUUUGUUGAGGUAGGCGGAAUAAGUCAUGUAGCGGUGAAAUGCAUAGAUAUGACUUAGAACACCGAUUGCGAAGGCAGCUUGCUAAACAAAUAUUGACGCUGAGGUACGAAAGCGUGGGGAUCAAACAGGAUUAGAUACCUGGUAGUCCACGCCCUAAACGAUGAUUACUUGACAUACGCGAUACAACAUGUGUGUGUCUGAGCGAAAGCAUUAAGUAAUCCACCUGGGAAGUACGACCGCAAGGGGG
rnacentral:rRNA from 1 species